GGUGCCUCCAACUGCGUUAGCCGCUCGUAACGAGGUUAUGUCCUCGGCCGCUGUAUCGAAAGUGGCUAAUGAUUCCAACGGUUUGGCUAAGGUUUUCGAGAAGGUAGGCCCUGGCUGCAAACCUAAAGGUUCGUUUUGCUUGUUUGACCUACAGAGUUGCUGUAGGCCUUGCGGAUGCCUUGCAGGGUGGUGCUAUAACAUUGAUCAUGAUUGCAAUGAGUACACAUAAUGGUCGCUACUGAGUUAAAAAAAGAAAACAGCUCUGAGUCUAAAACAUGGGAUUCGAUUAUAAAUGUUCUAUAUAUAACAUAUGUAUUUGAAUAAAGAAUCUCGUGUUAUGUCCCUGUUUGGUUGAGCUCUGCCUUUGUUGUAAGAGUUGAUGUUUUUCGUCUUCUCAUUGGUGUGUUGGUAUUGUGUGUACCCUUGUUAUUGGCAUAUGUAAUGAUAACUAAGUUCAUGAGUAUUUACCUAUUUUCUUUUAUGUAUAAUAAUUUGAUACUAAUUUUGAUUUUUAGAAAACAAACUUUUUUUUAUGCACUUUUAACAUGAUUUGGUAAAUUUUAAAACUUUUUUCAUAAAUAAAUUUAAUAAAUAAAUUUUCUAGUAUAUAAAAAAUAAUGAAUAACCUUUAUAAAAAUGGAUUGCAUGAAACUGUAAUCAUUAUACAUUUUUAAUAGGAGGAUGACAAAUCAGAUGUUACUCUUCAUUUUUAGUUUUUUCCUCCUAACAAAUUUAAAUCCAACUAAAAAAACUAAAAAUCAAGUGAAAAAAUCUGAUUUAUUAUUUUCUUAUUCGAAAAGCAUAAAAAUAAUAUAAAAUCACAGUUUUAUACAUUCAUUUUAUAACAUUUUCUGAAAAACAAUUUGAGCGUCUUACACAAUUUUAAAUAUAAAAUAUGUAUUUUAUAAAUUAAAAUUAAUUAUUCGAUUCGAUCCAGGGUUUAGUAGCCUACUAGAGUAGAUCCGAUUAGCAAAUCAACACUAGUUUAUACGUGCUUCCUUUUGAACCGCUUCGAAAUCAGCUCCAAAAAAGUGCUAGAAGCUCGAGCAACUUAAAAACCUCAAAAAAAAAAAAAUUAUAGAGCUGAAAAGCACAAAAAAUGCACCGUUGCAGAGGCAGGUGAGCUGAAAAACCAGCAGCUGAAAGGGACAAACCCGUCACGUGCAGCUCUCCAAUAGCAGGUCAUGGAGUUCAGUGAAGAAAAACCACAGCAAGCAUAAGCAGCACAAAACCAGACACAAACAGCUCAAAAAACAGAGUUGAAACAGUUGAUUAGACGCAAACCAGCUCGAAUCAGUAGCAUCGUUUUCUAUAUAAAGGGCCGCCUCGACCUACAAACCAUUCCACACACAAAACAUAAUCAUGGAGUGGUGCAAGAAGCUCGCUUUUCUGAUGGUUGCAAUGGCUCUGCUUCUUCAGGCCAUGGUGCCCCCGACAGCAUUAGCUGCUCGUAACAAUGUCAUGGAAUACAAUCCAUUGGCAAGCGUAUUCUCGAGGGAAGGCCCUGGCUGCAUCGCAAAAGGCGGGUUUUGCUUGUUUGACCUAACCAGUUGCUGUAGGCCUUGCGGAUGCCUUGCAGGGUGGUGCUAUAACAUUGAUCAUGAUUGCAAUGAGUACACAUAAUGGUCGCUACUAAGUUAAAAAAAAAAAAAAACAGCUCUGAGUCAAAAAAUGACACGGGAUUCGAUUAUAAAUGUUCUAUAUAUAACAUAUGUAUUUGAAUAAAGAAUAUCGUGUUAUGUCCCUGUUUAGUUGAGCUGUGCCAUUGCUGUAAGAGUUGGUGUUUUCCGUCUUCUCGUUGGUGUGUUGGUACUGUGUGUACCCUUGUUAGUGGCAUGUCUAAGAAUAAAUAUAUAUGUCAAUGAACUAAGUUUUAUCUGCCUUUUUUAUCUAAUUCAUGGACGGAUCACAUUUUAUAAAUUGAGCGAGGAGAUGUUAUUGUCGAGACUUGAAUCCUGGACUUUAAAUAUUAACACAUAGCUCUUAACUACUUGCUCAAUUACGGUAAAUAUCAUUAAUAAAUACUAAUAUCAACACGGAUUUUGCCAACCACCACAGUUGGGUUGGGUGAAAAUCAAUAUGGAUGGAACGGUUGGGCGAAUGACUGAUAUAGCGGCAGCAGCAGAAGUCAUCAGAGAUCAUAAUGUGAAGUGGCUGUGAGGCUGUUAUAGCAAUUUUGGUUCGUGUUCUGUGCUUCAUGCUGAGUUAUGGAGUGCUUGGAAGGGUUUCUUUCUGGCAUUGAAUUGCGGGUUUCGCAGGGUGGUUUUAGAAAUGGAUAAUGUAAAAAUAUUAUGUUCUCAGGAGAAUAAGGAAUACACCGGUUAGCCAUGGGAAGUGAAGAUACAGCAUGCUGUUGGUGAGGGUAAUUUUAUUCCAGAGGGUCUUGUAAACCUGCGGCUGAAUUCGAAUCCAGAAACAUAUGAACUUAUCAGUCCACUAGACGAGAUCUUGAGAGAAUUACAUGAUGAAGCAUGCCAAAUUGGGUAUGGCAGGGUGUCUUAGUUGUAACUUUGUAUAGCUUUUUAUUUUACUCAGAAAUUAAAAAAUAAUAUAAAUUCAAGUAACUAAAUAAUAUUGCUUAAAGUGGUAUGAACAAUGGAAUAUUGGGGAAUUAUUAUACUUCUUUUUUUUUUUGAAUUAUAUUUUAAAUUCAUAUAUGUUUGUGGCGUCAAUUGUUUAUAUAAAAAGGACUGAUGUAAUUAUGCUGUCACUUUCAUUAUUGAGAUUAUCAAUUUAGUUCGUUAGUUGACAUAUAUGAUUAUUAGUAACGUUAGCUUUUGAAAAAUAAUAUAAAGUUAGCAAGCUUUAUGUUAUCUUAUCAACUAUAAUAUAUAUAUAUCAUCUUGGUUUAGGGAUGCCAACAUGAUAGGGUGAGAUGGAUUUUUGCUUGUCCGACUCGAAUCUUGAUGAAUCCGUCUCGACCCCGAUUAUUAAAUAAUAAUAAAAAAGCCCCAAACUCAAAAUUUAAUAGGAGAUUCACUUUCGGUCCAACUUAAAUUUUAUUUAAUUGUUUUAUUUUUUUUAAAGAUUAAUUAUUUUAAGUUUAGACUUAAAAUUUAGUAUAUACAUAAUUACAUAUGAGUGACAUUUUUGUAAAUAUUUAAGAAUGGAUUGAGCGGAUUUACCUCAAACCCAAUCCCAACCUACUAUUUUUCUAAAUUCAUCCAAUUUAUUUUAAACUCGUUUUUUCAAAAAAGAUUCCUACCUUAAUAAAUCAAGUCGGAUCAAAACUGUAGGAUACGGAAAUUUUUUACAUCCCUAAUAAACCCAGUGACUUGUUUUAGUGCGGGGAUUUGUUUUGUGUACACACCUCAUCCAUCCCGAGUCUGCAAUCCGCAGGGGGAAUUUUAGAUCCUGUUACUAAUUAGGGCUUUAUCAGAAAAAUAAGGUCAUUGAAUCCUUAUUCUUAAACACUUGUUCAUUUCGUGCCAACCAAAUCGACGACACAACAGGUCAGCCACCAAUGCCUUGAGGUACCAAACACGUUUCACCAAGUUACACGAAAAUAAUACAUGAUUGGUCUCCUUGCCACACCAAUUACACAUACUUUGAUUGAGAUCAAAAUGUAUACCUCUCUUCAUUAAGAAUUCCUUAGUGGGGAUCCUAUUAAGCCGCACUAACCAUAAGAAACCUUUUUUAGGUGAACUUUCAGCUUAGCAUAGAUUUGAAUUUAUUGAAAUGCUUGGAGCAGAAGUCCAUUUAUUGUUGUUACAGUAUGCUUUUUUUUGUGCAAAGCUUGCUUUCGGAUUGCAAAGAAAAUCAAUUGGAUUUUGAUAGGAAGCUUUACCUUUAUUUUUGCAAUUCCACGUUUAUGGAUUUGAAUUUAAUGGUAAAAGUACUAGGAAUGUCCUUAUAUUUAUGGGUAGACUGCAUUUUAGCUCUUUUAUUGAAAAAAUAAGUAAAUUAGUCUUUAUACAUUUUGAAACAUGCAGAUUCAUUUAUCCAUUAAAUUUUAUCUAUUAAAUUAUUACGUGGAACGUUAAUUUAAAUGGUUGAUUUAAAUGGUUGAAUUUUAUCUAUUAAAUUAUGACGUGGAAUGUUAAUUUAAAUGGUUGAUUACUAAUUUAAUCUCUGAACUAUAGCUAAAAUAUCAAUUUUUUAAAAAAUUCUUAACAAUAAUUCUAAAAAAUUAAAAAUUCUUAAAAAUAAUAUAACUUAUUAAAAACUAUGUUAAAAUAUUUUAAAAAAUAAAAAUAUAAAUAAAAAAUUCUAGAAAAAAAACCUAUAUGUAAAUUUUUUAAAAAAAAAAUUAUCAAACUUUCGAGUCGAAACCUAGAAACCAUCAUAUUUUUUUACAAGACUUUCUUCCCCAUUGUAAAAAACCCAAAAAAUCAAAAAGAUUUCUCAUGCUUGAUUGAAGUCAUAAAUAAAUAAAUAAAAGGGUAAACUACACCCAUGGUCACUUUUGUUUACCUUAAGUUAUAUUUUAGUCACUUAUGUUUGAAAUGUUACAUUUUAGUCACUUAUGUUAUCGUGUUGUAACAUUUUAGUCACUGAGCUAUUAAUUGUCGCUAACAGUGUAACAGUAAGUUGACGUGACACGUUAAAUCAUAAUUUUAAACAAAAAUUUAGGGUAAAUUAUACAAUCGAUCAUCACAUUUUUUUUCGUUUUGAGCAAUUUAAUUUUUUUUAUGUUCUUUAAAUUUUUCAUUCUUUAUUUUCCAUUAUCUUAUGUUUCUCCCUCUAUUUUCUUUCCUUCUCCAUUUAUUUUAACAUAUCAAGAAGUCGAAUUGAUAGUGAAGAAAUAAAUAGGAAGUCGAAAACCAUCAUUGCCUAUAACCAAAACCAAUAAACCCAUACCAUGCUUUUUUCUUUACUGCCAAUUAUUCGACUUCCUAAUAUGUUGAAAGAAAUGGAGAAGGUAGGAAAAUAGAGGGAGAAGCAGAAGAGAAUGGAAAAUAAUGAAAAAAAAGUUAAAAGAACAUAAAAAAUUAAAUUGCUCAAAAUGAAAAAAUAUCGGCACCAAUUGUAUAAUUUAACCUAAUUUUUUAUUUGAAAUGAUGAUUUAAUGCGCCACAUUAGCUUACUGUUAUACCGUUAAUGAUAAUUAACGGCUCAGUGACUAAAAUGUUACAAUACGAUAACAUAAGUGACUGAAACAUAACAUUUCAAAUAUAAGUAACUAAAACGUAAGCUGAUGUAAACAAAAGCGACCAUGGGUAUAAUUUAACCUAAAUAAAAACUUGAUUGAACCCAAGAAAAAUUAACUAAAAGUUUUGACUACUCAUUUUCAAAUUUCUCAUACUUUCAUAAAUAUUCAUUUAAUCUUCAUCACCUAUCCUUCCAACUAAAAUGUAUAUAAAAAUUUAUUUAAUGUUUACUUUCUUCUACUUUAGUGAAUACGCAUUUUUGUAUCUCCUGUGUUUUCAUAUCUCCUAAUGAUGUGUAAUCAUGUUAUAAAAUUUCGAUUACUCAUUUUCACAUUCCCUUAGUUAUUACAAACUUUCCUAUUUGAAAAAUCUUAUUGUUUAAUACCCUAGAAGCUUUAAUCAUUAAUUUACUGGGUUUAAUAAUAUUUGGUUUUGAAUUUUUAAUAUAAAUGUGUGGGUUUUAUCUUUAAGUUUUAAUCUUGUUCGAAAAUUAGCAAAAAUAAAUACAUUAAAAGCAAAAAUUUAACUUGCUAUCACACCCCGAACCUAAACCUAGAAUUUAAUAGAAGACCCAACUCUGAACCGAUCCAACUCGACUAUUUUUCCAAUUUCACCCGAUGUGACCUACAAAACCGAUCAAGUUCACCAGGACGAAUACAAGGGGCAAGUAGUGCCCAAAAAAUAUAUAUAUAUAUAUAUAUAUAUAUAUCAUUUAGACCUUUAACAUUUAGGAAAUUCUAAAUUCAUAUAAUGAGAAAAUACAUUUUAACAUUUUAAUCUCAAAUAUUUAUGAUUCAUCUUUAUAUCGUUAAAGUAUCUUUCUGGGUUCACCCUUAUUUCUCCAACCAUUCAUACUGCUUAGUAACAACAUAUAAACGUAACAAAUUAUUUAUCUCUCCCGUCAGUACUACAUGCACAUAAGUGCAUUCACUAUUCCAUGCAAUAUCUCAUAUGUCACAUGCAUUACGAACCUGGACCAUCAUCUUUUCUAUAUAAAGGACCCUCCACCUAAUCAUGGAAUCCUUCAAGAAGAUCGUUUUUCUCAUCGUUGCUAUAUCUCUAGUUCUUCAAGCCACGGUGCCUCCAAACUGCGUUAGCCGCUCGUAACGAGGUUAUGUCCUCUGCUGCUGUAUCGAAAGUGGCUAACGAUUCCAACGGUUUGGCUAAGGUUUUCGAGAAGGUAGGCUCUGGCUGCAAACCUAAAGGUUCGUUUUUCUUGUUUGACCUAACCAGUUGUUGUAGGCCUUGCGGAUGCCUUGCAGGGAGGUGCGAUAUCAUUGAUCAUGAUUGCAAUGAGUACACAUAAUGGUCGUUACUGAGUCAAAAAAAAAAAAACAGCUCUGAGUCAAAAAAACGACAUGGGAUUCGAUUAUAAAUGUUCCAUAUAUAACAUAUGUAUUUGAAUAAAGAAUCUCGUGUUAUGUCCCUGUUUGGUUGUGUUGUGCCAUUGUUGUAAGAGUUGGUGUUUUCCGUCUUCUCAUUGGUGUGUUUGUAGCAUUUUUCUCAAAAACAAAUUAAGUGCCUUUCACAAUUUUAAAUAUAAAAUAUUUAUUUUAUUUAUAAAAAAUUAAAAUUAAUUAUUCGAUUCGAUUCUGUGUUUUAACUUGAAAGCCAAAACGAGUGAGUAGUAGCCUACUAGAGUAGAAUCAAAUUAGCAAAUCGACACAAGUUUAUACGUGGUUCCUUUUGAACCGCUUCGAAAUCAGCUCCAAAAAACUGCUAGAGUCUCGAGAAACUUAAAAACCUCAAAAAAGAAGAAAAAUUAUAGAGCUGAAAAGCACAAAAAAUGCACCGUUUCAGAGGCAGGUGAGCUGAAAAACCAGCAGCUGAAAGGGACAAACCCGUCACGUGCAGCUCUCCAAUAGCAGGUCAUGGAGUUCAGUUAAGAAAAACCACAGCAGGCAUAAGCAGCACAGAACCAGACCCAAACAGCUCAAAAAACAGAGUUGAAACAGUUGAUUAGACCCAAACCAGCUGGAAUCAGUAGCAUCGUUUUCUAUAUAAAGGGCCUCCUCCACCUACAAACCAUUCCACACACAAAACAUAAUCAUGGAGUGGUGCAAGAAGUUCGCUUUUCUGAUGGCUGCAUCGCAAAAGGCGGGUUUUGCUUGUUUGACCUAACCAGUUGCUGUAGGCCUUGCGGAUGCCUUGCAGGGUGAUGCUAUAACAUUGAUCAUGAUUGCAAUGAGUACACAGAAUGGUCGCUAGUGAGUUAAAAAAAAAACAGCUUUGAGUCAAAAAAUGACAUGGGAUUCGAUUAUGAAUGUUCUAUAUAUAACAUAUGUAUUUGAAUAAAGAAUCUCGUAUUAUGUCCCUGUUUAGUUGAGCUGUGCCAUUGUUGUAAGAGUUGGUGUUUUCCGUCUUCUCGUUGGUGUGUUGGUACUGUGUGUACCCUUGUUAUUGGCAUGUCUAAGAAUAAAUAUAUAUGUCAAUGAACUAAGUUUUAU
rnacentral:lncRNA from 1 species